rnacentral:rRNA from 1 species
CCUACGGGGGGCAGCAGUGAGGAAUAUUGGUCAAUGGACGAGAGUCUGAACCAGCCAAGUAGCGUGAAGGAUGACUGCCCUAUGGGUUGUAAACUUCUUUUAUAAAGGAAUAAAACGAGGCACGUGUGCCUUUUUGCAUGUACUUUAUGAAUAAGGAUCGGCUAACUCCGUGCCAGCAGCCGCGGUAAUACGGAAGGUCCGGGCGUUAUCCGGAUUUAUUGGGUUUAAAGGGAGCGUAGGCCGGCUUUUAAGUCAGCUGUGAAAGUCCGCGGCUCAACCGUGGAAUUGCAGUUGAAACUGGAGGC